ACGUAGGGGGCGAGCGUUGUCCGAAUUCACUGGGCGUAAAGCGCGCGUAGGCGGGUUUUUAAGUUGGGGGUGAAAUCCCGGAGCUCAACUCCGGAACUGCCUCCAAAACUGGGAGCCUUGAGGUAUGGAGAGGGAAGUGGAAUUCCUGGUGUAGCGGUGAAAUGCGUAGAUAUCAGGAGGAACACCCGUGGCGAAGGCGGCUUCCUGGCCAUAUCCUGACGCUGAGGUGCGAAAGCUAGGGGAGCGAACGG
rnacentral:rRNA from 1 species